UCUAGUCUAGACACCUAGAUCUAGAUCUAUCGAUCAUCUAGUCUGUCUAUAGUCUAUAGCUUUAGACUUAGUAUACACUUUUACAGUAUAUGAGUAUACUCAUACGAGUCAUACUGGCUAUACUAUAGUAUAGACACUAUAGUUAGUAUAGUUAAUACUUUUUAAUAGUAGAUCUAUAAUCUAUCAAUUCUAUCUAAAUCUAGACUUCACUUUCACAUCACAUUCACACGAUUAUUGAUACAGACAAUGAAUGAAAAGAAUGCAGUGGUUAUACUUAUUAUACUUAUAGUGACGAUACUACUUAUAGAUCUACCAGUUGAUAAACAUCAUCAUCAUAGAUAAUAAUCUGCAUCUAUAAUCAUAGUGCCCUUUAUUUAGUCAAUAUAGUCAAGUCAAGAUAGUGGAACGUAAACUCGAAGGUUUAAUACAAUACGUUAUUAACAAGUAGGACGUAAUCAUCUUCUUUUUUGAAGUAACGUCUGUAUUAUAUAAGAUAAGAUAACCAUGGCAACCAGUUCUGAUGAUGUACCAGAAUGGCUCAAGGAUCAUACUUAUACUAUUUCUACUCUCUGGGCAGACAUUAAUAAUAUUGGGAUCCAUUCAAUAUUUAAUUUAUGUUUGGAAAUGCAAGAAAAAGGCAUGCAUUCCUGAAAAGUCACUGAUUGGUUGCACCUCUUAAAGAUAACUUUCUGUUAUGAGAAAAGAUGAGAUUCUUGGACUCCUGCAUAGCACCACCAGAAAGGAAAAUCCCAUCAUGUUGCAAAAUAAAAGUCUUGGACCAAUUUUAAUUUAAGAUAUAUAUAUAUUAUACUGUAAGCUGUAUACAUAUUUAUGUAUAUCCUGUCAUUCAGCCAACAGGUUUGGAUUUAGUAUUUCUUUAAAUCUGUUUGAUAUUGUACUUGAAAACUAUUAAUCUGAGCCCCAUUAAAACAAGAGGGAGUGCAGUGGAUGAGUGGUAAGGGAAAUUUUACUUUUUUAAAAUUAAAAAUAAGAAUCUAACAAAAGUAAACAUAUAAAAUAUGGUGCAUUCUCCUUAAAACUAAAACCUGGUGCAAAGGUUUAAAAUGUUGGCAAAAAAAAAGCAACAUCAAUUAAAUAUUCUUAAUUCCCUUACUGAGAAGAACAUGCAUGUUGUUCCCUCAUAAGUUUCUUGACAGAGGAAAUCUUGUUUAUAUUAGAUUUGAAUUAAGCAAAUUAAGAAAAAAAUUAUAAUCAUUAUUUCAAAUGGUUGUAUCUAAACCUUAUGAAUUAUUUUUCAGUUAUAAGUAUAUUGAAAUGAAUGGAUAAUCAUGAAAUUGUUAAAUAAUUGCCAUUGACUAAAGAACCAUAAUUUUUUUUUUUAAUUAAUUUCAAAAUGAUUUUUUUCAAGCAGAGUUCACAUAGAUCUUGAGUGAAAUUUUUCUUUUUUUGACUAAUGCUUCAAUUUUAUUGUAUCAUUAGUUUUUUAUUUUUAUUACCCAGAAUAUUUAAAAAAUUAGUACACUAUUUUCAUGUAAUAAUGUAACUUGGUAUUCACACAUCAAAAUACACUAUAAUCUUUAGGCCAUAUAGAUUUGUAUAAAUAUAAAUUAACAUUCUCAGAUACAUUGUAAAUGUAUAUUGUUUGGAUAAGAAUAAAGUUUUUCUGUAGACAA